rnacentral:rRNA from 1 species
CCUACGGGAUGCUGCAGUCGAGAAUCAUUCACAAUGGGGGAAACCCUGAUGGUGCGACGCCGCGUGGGGGAAUGAAGGUCUUCGGAUUGUAAACCCCUGUCAUGUGGGAGCAAAUUAAAAAGAUAGUACCACAAGAGGAAGAGACGGCUAACUAUGUGCCAGCAGCCGCGGUAAUACAGAGGUCUCAAGCGUUGUUCGGAAUCACUGGGCGUAAAGCGUGCGAAGGCUGUUUCGUAAGUCGUGUGUGAAAGGCGCGGGCUCAACCCGCGGACGGCACAUGAUACUGCGAGACUAGAGUAAGGGAGGGGGAACCGGAAUUCUCGGUGUAGCAGUGAAAUGCGUAGAUAUCGAGAGGAACACUCGUGGCGAAGGCGGGUUCCUGGACAUUAACUGACGCUGAGGCACGAAGGCCAGGGGAGCGAAAGGGAUUAGAUACCCGAGUAGUC